GUUUUUUCGUAAGCAAUGGUUGAUCAUUGCUUACAGGUAUACAUUGAAUUACCUAUAACAGAGUCUGCACCCGUCUCCGUUAUCCUAAUACGUACUUUUUCAUAAUGAAAUCACAUUAUAUUUAUUAGAAAAAAUAAGCUACUGGUGUGUGUCACAAUCAUUUGUAUAUACGGUAUUCGUCAAUUUGUGAAAUGGUAUGUUUGAUUAAUG